UGGGAGUGGCUUCUAGGUUUGAAAAUGGUGGGUGAUGUUGGGAAUUAAGAAGGCACCAGUGAAUUGUAGUUGCUUGUAGUAGAGUAAUUAGGGAUCUGGCGUCUUUUGGCCAUUUUAUAGAACAUUAUAGAAGAGGCUCACAAAUGACAUUUUUAUGAAACUGAAAUUAGAAAUUUUUCAUUUAGGGCUCUGCCUUGCUCUACGAUGUUCUUGCUUGAUCAGCAGAAUUCUUAGUUUCAAGCAUUUUAAAGUCACCAAAUUUUUGUGAUGGUGACCGCCUAAAUAAGUAUUGAGAUGAAUCACUUAGUGCUGAUGUAAAAGUGACAAUCUAACUCAUUUCCAGCCAAUCAGUGUCUGAGUGUCUGUAUUUUGUAGAUGUCAAAUCAAGUCAAAAGAAGUAGUGCUCCAGUCUCAUAGCAUGUCUUUUACCACCCACUAGAGAUGUAGCUCAAAGGUAUAAAAUCAAUUGCAUGUAGUGUCACUAGUGAGUCAUCAUAAGGGUUUUGAAGUGACAGUGUACAUGUACAAGUCACGGUAACCUCAAACUUUUAUUUUUGAAUUUUUGUUGAAAAUAAUUUUUUUGUUUUACAAAUUAUUUGUUGAACUUUUUAGUUGAGUUUAAUGGCAUUGAUUUUAGUGAUUUUAAGCCUGCUGAUUCCACACAAAAUAUACCAGCUAUAGAGUAUCAAGUAGUACACAUGUAUAUUAAUGAUUUCAUAUUCUUCACAAGCAUAGUUCAUCACUACAUCGACACACAAUACUCCUGGAGUAGAAAAAUUCUCUCCAGAAAUUUUUUAUGAGUGACUAUUUUGACUAUAGUAAACCUAUGUUGACCAAGAAAAAUAGCUAUCAGGUCGUACUUGUGAACUAAUCUAGUGAGCAUAGAAUGAGAAAAGAAGGUGUUUUUGUGAUGAAAUGAAUAGAGGUCUAUGCAGGCACAGAUAAAGCUUCAAAGGAAGAUACAGACUGCUGAUCAAUGGGUUAAAGAAGGUCACAAAAGAAGUUGCUGCCUGUAUCAUGUCAUUAGUUGGAGUUUAUAGUCUAUAUGCACUUUAUAGUACUAUUGUUUGUACAAGCAUAGCGAGACUACUACAGUCCUGUUCCUGAUGGAAUGCUAUGACCAAAAGAAUCCCUCCACAUGUCACUUUUAAUGCCUGUUGCAUUUGUUGUCACUUAUAUACUUCAUCCUCAUCCACUUUUAUUGUUCAGUGUUCAAGUGAAUUUACUGAUUAUAAAUACAC